rnacentral:tRNA from 1 species
GCCCGAGUGGCGGAACGGCAGACGCAGCGGACUCAAAAUCCGCCGGGGGCAACCCCGUGCGAGUUCGAAUCUCGCCUCGGGCA